GCAUGAUUGGAGGAGGAGGAUGAGGUAGCCAACACUGUUUUUAUAUAUAUAUAUAUAUAUAUAUAUAUAAUUUUUUUUUUUUUUGUGGGGGUAGCCCCCAAAAUGGGACAUAUAAAAAAAGACAACUCUGUUUCGCAGAGUAGCUGUUGACAUUAUAGUUGCGCAGGCAUUUUGACUCUAGAGAACCUCGGGCCAAUCGCACAUCCCGUGACUUUGCAUUUGGAUGUCAUCCAUAUCAACUUUUGAUGCCAGUUUCUGUGCCUACCAUGGUGACUACGGGUAACAGGGAAUCAGGGUUCCAUUCCGUACAGGGACCCUGAGAAAUGGCUACCACAUGCAAGGAAGGCAGC